UCUGGCUGGGGUUAAGCUACUACACCAAUAAAAAGCAACUGCAGCUGACAUGUUUACAGGAAAAGUGGUUGACUGGAAGCCAGUAAAUGUCACUAGAAGUACAUUCAUCUUCUAUAAAACAGAAUAACUAUUUCAUGCUGAUAAAAAAGAAACCUUUGAAAGGUAAGAUUGAUGUAUGUUGUAUCUGAGAGAUAAACACUCGGAGAGGAUUCAAACACAAGGCUGUCUGACUGCAUCUUGACUGCCCACCAGCUGUCACAGAUGAAGAAUAUCAGCUUCUACCUCUGAAGAGGAAGCAGCACUUCACAUCCUCUCUGCACUUCCCAAGUAACCAGGGAUAUGGACAGAAAUAAUGGGAGAGAUCCUUUGUUCCUUCCUAUAGGGAUUCCUCUACUCUGAAGUAAAUGCUGGUGGCUGGCGCCUCUGCCUCUCUCUAUCAGCCCCUGGCACUCACAAUAUGCUUCCACAGUUGGGCAGUUGUCGAGACGAAACCACUGUCUGGUAUAAGAGGGUCAGGAAAUAGCUUCAUGAGUGUAACACAGAGUGGAUACAAGAAUCCCAAAUGAAGGAAUGAUCAUCUGUAUUUCUGCCCACUGCAAACCUUGUGAAUGUUUGGAUGUGGAUUUAUGCUGUGUUCAAGACAAGGAGAGAUGUUUGUGAGUUGUAUUUGAUCAAUUGCAUGCCUUCCAAAUCCUAUGUUUAUCUGGGUAAAUAAUGUUUUGAGGUAAAACCAAAAUCCAAGCAUGUAUUGGGAAAAUAAUUGCACUUCUUAAUAAAAGUAUCUUUAAAAGAUUAUCA
rnacentral:lncRNA from 1 species